AACUUUGAGCAGUGGAUCACUUGGCUCACGGGUUGAUGAAGAACACAGCCAGCAGCGAGACUUGAUGUGAAUUGCAGGACACACUGAGCACUGAUUUUUCAAAUGUAUAUUCCAGUCUUUAGUCAUACCCGCACCCUCACCUGUCUGAGGGUUG
rnacentral:rRNA from 1 species